rnacentral:ncRNA from 2 species
AGGUGAGGUAGAGGCGCGGUUAUUAUGAGUAACUGCAGGAAGCUGGGGAAGCUGAUGAACUGCAGGGAAAGGAAUGACCGCCGAAGUCAAGGUACUGUCCCCGGUACUUUAGGCUGGGUAUGCAUCGAAUAGGUGCAUAACUGUCACUGGCUGGACUCCCAACCGCCAGUGGAGAGCUAUCGCACAG